UACUGACUUUCCUGGGGUGCUGUGAAGUUUCACUUUCAUGUGAAAAGGAUACUACAGGUAUAGAAAAACUGUCAAACUGUUGUGAAGACAUAUCGAGGCCCCGAAAGCCAUGGCAGCAGACCUUCUCAGAAGUUUUUGGCACUCACUGGAAGAUCCUGUGGUUUAUUCCUUUCAGGCAGAGGCAACCACUGCGAGUUCCCUACCACUUUGCCAAUCAUGUCUAAGCAGGUGGAUGGUCUGCAGUAUCUCAUGUGGCAGCAGAAGAUUUAUCAGUUUGUUGGACUUCAUGGUCUGCCCACAACGCUAAACUUUAUCUGUUAAAACUGGACAAAACACAUGAAUAUGAAAAAAAUACCCAAACAACAAAGUAGGCCAAAACUUCAAUCAGGUCACAAUAGUAUCAGGCAUUCAGCACAUAAUGGAUGGUGUGGAAAGAUGUCUGGGGUAAAAUCAGAGGAAACUCAGAAGUUAUAUUCAAAACCUAACAAAUUAUAAUGGUACAGAAAUUACUGGGUAAAAUGCAGCUGCUACUUCCUGGAUGGAAUACAGUUGGCAGCUCUGCAGUGACUCCCCAUACAACAGUAAACACCUGCUAAGGGGGAUGGAACGGAGAGUGGAGCACUGUGGAGACACUGCGGCCAGGCUCUAGAAAUCCUUGCAGGGCAGGGGACUCAACGGUACUUUGCAGAUGAUAAACUGCACAGCACCUGUCACCAAGGGAGACGGGAGAAGAUAUCCUGCUGCUGAGCCCGCAAUUGUGGUGAAAUCUAUCUCCUCAGGUCAACUUCAUUAAAGCUUCAUUAUAAUAUUAGCACACACCUCCAUCCCAAAGGUACCCACCUCCAAGGUGUGAUCACCCCACACUGGGCACGUGGCCUGUAUUUUUUUGACUUUAUCUUUAAAAAUGAAGCAAGAGAAUUUUAAACCAAUCAGUAAUGAAGGUAUUUAUGACUCAAGUCACUCAAGCUUCACGUAAAUAUAAAGAAAUAUAUAAAAGUAAGUUGAGAUUGGGGGAAAAGUUAGGGGAGUCUCCACUGUAACUGCUGGGAUCAGUCGAUGGGCUGAACCUGUCUUCUCCCCCAUAGGGACACCUGUUGGAUAAGCACCAUACUGUAUGCACACUGAAUACCUUUACUGGGGAUCAAAGCUUCUCUGUGUAUUGUUUUGAAUAUGUUUUUGCAAUCGGAUACUAUCACUGGCAACCCUCAAACCUUAACCUGUCACAAUUUUAUUUUAAU